rnacentral:rRNA from 1 species
UUGGGUAGUCCGCACGAGCGCANCCUUGNUCAUUAGUUGCUAUGAAAGGGCACUCUAAUGAGACUGCCGGUGACAAACCGGAGGAAGGUGGGGAUGACGUCAGGUCCUCAUGGCCCUUAUGGGUAGGGCUACACACGUCAUACAAUGGCCGGUACAGAGGGCUGCCAACCCGCGAGGGGGAGCCAAUCCCAGAAAACCGGUCGUAGUCCGGAUCGCAGUCUGCAACUCGACUGCGUGAAGUCGGAAUCGCUAGUAAUCGCGGAUCAGCUUGCCGCGGUGAAUACGUUCCCGGGUCUUGUACACACCGCCCGUCACACCAUGGGAGCGGGUUCUGCCAGAAGUAGUUAGCCUAACCGCAAGGAGGGCGAUUACCACGGCAGGGUUCGUGACUGGGGUGAAGUCGUAACAAGGUAGCCGUAUCGGAAGGUGCGGCUGGAUCACCUCCU